rnacentral:rRNA from 1 species
AUUGAACGCUGGCGGCAGGCCUAACACAUGCAAGUCGAACGAGUGGCGGACUGGUGAGUAAUGUCUGGGAAACUGCCCGCUGGAGGGGGAUAACUACUGUAAACGGUAGCUAAUACCGCAUACCAUCGGAUGUGCCCAGAUGGGAUUAGCUAGUUGGUGGGGUAACGGCUCACCUAGGCGACGAUCCCUAGCUGGUCUGAGAGGAUGACCGGCCAGACUGGAACUUAGACACGGUCCAGACUCCUACGGGAGGCAGCAGUGGGGAAUAUUGCACAAUGGGCGCAAGCCUGCUUCAGCCAUGCAGCGUGUAUGAAGAAGGCCUUCGGGUUGUAAAGUACUUUCAGCGAGGAGGCGUUACUCGCAGAAGAAGCAACGGCUAACUCCGUGCCAGCCGCCGCGGUAAUAG